GGAGGAAAAGAAACCAACAGGGAUUGCCUCAGUAACGGCGAGUGAAGCGGCAAAAGCUCAAAUUUUAAAGCUGGCAUCUUCGGUGUCCGCGUUGUAAUUUUGUGAGGCAUCUCCGGGUAGGGCGCCAGCCUAAGUUCCUUGGAACAGGACGUCACAGAGGGUGAGAAUCCCGUGCUUGGCUGGCUGUCCCCGCCCACGUGAGGUGUCUUCGACGAGUCGAGUUGUUUGGGAAUGCAGCUCAAAAUGGGUGGUAAAUUUCAUCUAAAGCUAAAUAUUGGUGGGAGACCGAUAGCGCACAAGUAGAGUGAUCGAAAGAUGAAAAGCACUUUGAAAAUAGAGUUAAAAAGUACGUGAAAUUGUUGAAAGGGAAGCGCUUGAGACCAGACUUCGGUAGGGGGUGAUCAGCCGUCCUUCUGGGCGGUGCACUUGCCCCCCUCCGGGCCAGCAUCGGUUGAGGCGGCGGGAUAAAGGUCCCGGGAACGUGGCUCCUUCACGGGAGUGUUAUAGCCCGGGUGAAUGCCGCCAGCCUCGACCGAGGACCGCGCCCGCAAGGGUUAGGAUGCUUGGCAUAAUGGUCUUCAGCGACCCG
rnacentral:rRNA from 1 species